CUCUGUGCUCGAAUGACUGGACACACGAGCCUUUGUCCCCAUGGUCAUCGUCACCAUCAGCUAAAGCAAUGAGUCCUCCCUCCCUCUGCUGUGUUUGUCUCUCUGUCUCCCCCGGUCCACCGGGCUGCUCCCUGCCCCUCCCCAGGCAGAGACCACCAUGCUGGGCAGCUCAUAUAUCUUGGGAAGGAGGAGAUAAGGGCUCAUCCUGGAUGUCCUCUGAGCCCCCGUGCUCUCGGCUCAACACUCAGGACUUCCGCUCCCGUGCUCAUGAAAGAACGAGGGAUGAUGGCGAACGACAGAAGAGGAGAGAUGGAUCAAGGGAGAGGAUACAGGCGGAACAAGAGAAGAGCAGAGGUGUUCAGCUGCACUCAUCCUCCUCACUGCAACCUCUCCAAACCUCGAACACACAGGAGAAGGGCGAGAGAGGUAAGAGAAUGUUUUACUGUAUUUAUGGAAUGAUGGAUUUGGGUUCAGUGGAAAAGAGCGGAAGAGACAAAGGGAU
ensembl:lncRNA